ensembl:snRNA U6 U6 spliceosomal RNA
GUGCUCACUUCAGCGUUCAUAUACUAUAAUUGGAAUGAUACAGAGAAGAUUAGCAUGGCCCCUGCACAAGGAUGACAUGCAAAUCCGUGAAGAAUUCUAUAUUUUG